rnacentral:lncRNA from 1 species
UCAAAUCAAAUUUACAGGAAGGGAUCUUCAAGGAUGAUCAGGUGGCGCCUCAUCACUCGGCUAUGUUGAAAAAAAAAAAAAAAAAAAAAAAAUGAAGUCAAAUCAAAUUUACAGGAAGGGAUCUUCAAGGAUGAUCAGGUGGCGCCUCAUCACUCGGCGGAGCUCCAGAAAGACGAAGCACUAGAGAUUGAUUAUCCGGAGCUUCAACACUUGGUGAAGCCCCAGGGGACGAAGGCAGAAGUUGCCGCUGGAGUAACGUCACAAACCUCUGAUGAUCACUCUGAAUCCGAACUUCAGACUCCUGCAAUUGGUCAAGCUUCCUCUUCAUGCUUGUUGAGUAAUUAGUUGCAAGCAUGUGCAACUCUUUAUUCUCGUGCCUAAGCAUCCUGACCUCUUGCCGAAGACUGGCCACCUCAGCCAUCAACGAUUCAACCUGACGAGAUCGGGCAAGAAGGCGUUGGCCCAUGUUUGAAACUGAACCUGCACAUCGAACGCUGUAGGCCAGAGAGUCCUGAACAGC